UGGGUUUCACAUUUUGGGCUUUUAACCGGGCAAACAAUUUCCUCCAUUCAUUUUGAAUUUUGAAAGCACCGUACUUGUCUCUCUCUUCCCGUUUCCCUUUCCCUCCCCCAACCCUAGCAAAUCCAAUACUUUCCCACUCUCAUCAGAUCCGGUAAGCUCCACACUCUUCUUCCUUCUUCCUUCAUCACAUUCACGUUGUAGAAAGAGAGAGACUGUGGAUCUCCAUCCAUCUUCUUCAUUCUUCCGUCACCGUUUUCACUCUUCCAAUCUCCUCUGGCGGUGGCAAUCGAUGGUAGCUGAAGUUACAGGGCAGGAUGUUGUUUGUACCAUUAAAAAUUCAGCAACAUUAGCUGGGGCAUUCUUUACCUUGCAUGCAUCUCAAAUUCAUAUUGAUUUGCCUACCCUCACUGAGAAAGACAAGGAGGUUAUAAGCACUUGGGGAGUAAAAAACAAAAUUGAUUUAUCAUUGUCAUAUACUAGGCAUGCUGAAGAUGUUUGUCUGGUUAUUUGUGUUCCACAUCCUUUGUGCACAUGAGUUCCUUUCUACAUUAGGUGAUCUCAGCCAAACUCAAAUCUUCGCGAGAAUGUCAAUUCCUUUCUACAUUAUUGGUGACAUGGCCAUAAAUUCCUUUCUACAUGAAUUCCUUUCUAUGUUAGGGUCGAGCUAUAAAUUUCUCUCCUCUUUCAAAAUCCGCCAAAUAUCCAUUGAUAACUAGAGAAGCUGCAAAGGCAACUACCGCGGACUUAGCAGAAGCAAGGCAGUGUCACUUUAAUUCAUUAGAUAAAAAUAAAAUCAAGAUAAAUAUUUUCCUCUGCGAUGGUAUAACUGAUCAUCUUUCAACCUAUAAGAAAAUUGAUGCAGUAAAAGAAGUGGGUGGAUAAGGUCUUAUUCAUAUUACUGACAGGGAAGAAGAAGUGAGUGGAUUAGCUUCCACAUUUUAUUGCCAUAGCUGGACUUGUGUGUGUAAUGUUUGCCAUUUGUAUUCCUCAUCUUUUGGCUUUUGCAAUUUGGCUCGGAUUUUCAACUGUCUUAAGUCUCGCAUACAUUUUCAUAGUGCUUGUACUGUCGCUAAAAGAACCACGCCAUCUUACGUCGCUUUCACUGACUCCGAGCGUCUCAUCAGUGAUGCUGCUAAGAAUCAGGUCGCCUUGAACCUUAUCAAGACUGUCUUCAAUUAGUUAUUUUACUCUCUGCUUGAUCUAUUAAUAGUUUGUGCAUAUUAUUUAUAUUUGGAAAGUUUGUUAUUGAUUCUGUCAUAUGUAACUAAUCUUGCUAUUGUACGUUCAUACAAUAUGUAAAUUUACGGUCCAAAACGGAUCUGUCUGAAUAGUUAGUUUAUACAAUGAGGAACACCAUUAAGGAUGAUAAUACUGCCGGUAAACUUGAUCCAGCUAACAAAAAGAAGACUGGUGCAUAUAAGGCAGCAUCUCGGUUGGCGAUUGCCACUCCACCUCCUGCUUAUGUGUUGAGUCGAGGCAUUGGUUGGCAGGGGAUCAAUAUCUUGCUUGAUGGAUUUUAUGGAACCGGGACUGGUUCCACUGUUUCUGUGGAAAAUGUUGGACUCCUCGGCCUGACUCGAGUUGGAAGUCGCAGAGUUGUUCAAAUUUCUGCUGGUUUUAUGAUAUUUUUUGCUGGUUUUAUGAUAUUCUUUGCUGGUUUUAUGAUAUUCUACUGUCCAUGACAAAUUUCAUCUCAUAUUCUUAUAACCUUGAUACUUGGUUUACUACUGACAAAGUGGGCCACUCAUAGUAUGUGAUAAAAUGAAUUUUCUGGUGAUAUGAUAUAUAUUUUGAACUUCUGUAUCAAA